CCUACGGGAGGCAGCAGUGGGGAAUUUUGGACAAUGGGCGAAAGCCUGAUCCAGCAAUGCCGCGUGAGUGAAGAAGGCCUUCGGGUUGUAAAGCUCUUUUGUCAGGGAAGAAACGGUGAAAGCUAAUAUCUUUUGCUAAUGACGGUACCUGAAGAAUAAGCACCGGCUAACUACGUGCCAGCAGCCGCGGUAAUACGUAGGGUGCAAGCGUUAAUCGGAAUUACUGGGCGUAAAGCGUGCGCAGGCGGUUUUGUAAGUCUGAUGUGAAAUCCCCGGGCUCAACCUGGGAAUUGCAUUGGAGACUGCAAGGCUAGAAUCUGGCAGAGGGGGGUAGAAUUCCACGUGUAGCAGUGAAAUGCGUAGAUAUGUGGAGGAACACCGAUGGCGAAGGCAGCCCCCUGGGUCAAGAUUGACGCUCAUGCACGAAAGCGUGGGGAGCAAACAGGAUUAGAUACCCUGGUAGUCCACGCCCUAAACGAUGUCUACUAGUUGUCGGGUCUUAAUUGACUUGGUAACGCAGCUAACGCGUGAAGUAGACCGCCUGGGGAAGUACGGUCGCAAAGNUUAAAACCUUGAAUUGAUUGACGGNNGAGAGNGCGAGACGACGACGAGGAGAGG
rnacentral:rRNA from 1 species